UACGGAGGGGGCUAGCGUUGUUCGGAAUUACUGGGCGUAAAGCGCACGUAGGCGGCUUUGUAAGUUAGAGGUGAAAGCCCGGGGCUCAACUCCGGAAUUGCCUUUAAGACUGCAUCGCUAGAAUUGUGGAGAGGUAAGUGGAAUUCCGAGUGUAGAGGUGAAAUUCGUAGAUAUUCGGAAAGAACACCAGUGGCGCAAGGCGAC
rnacentral:rRNA from 1 species